rnacentral:tRNA from 2 species
GCACCAAUAGCUCAGGGGUAGAGCGCGCGUUUAGUAAGCGCGAGGUCAGGAGUUCAAAUCUCCUUUGGUGCA